CCCGUGAUUGUAUUUACACUGGGCUCCCUUCAGUUCUUUAUUGCGCGUGAAAAUAACCAUUUUGGAAGUGUAUACAAUCUCACUGGGAAAAAUUAAAAUACAGCUGUGAAUUUAUGAAAUUGUAUCUUACUGGAUUUGUCAAUAUACACUAAUUAUCAAACACA